rnacentral:misc_RNA from 1 species
UAUUAUUAUUAUUAUUAUUAUUGUGAGUAUUUUUUUUAGAGGGGGAAUUUAAUAUAUGAUUAUUAGUUUUUUCUUGGGUAAUGUAAUUAUUAAUUAUUAAAUAAAUGCAUAGUGUUAUUAUGAUAUAAUAAAUUUCCACACUAUAAUAAAUAUUCAUAUUUUAUAUCUGCAAAUUCUUUUUUUUUUAAUAUACAUUUUAGAAGACAAA